UCUGAAUAUGUUGCAUAAUAUUAAUGUAUUAAAAAACAUUAAUUUUCUCAAUCAUUGUUUUCUGGAUUUAACUGCAUUGGCUUUGAGUAACUCAUAUAUUGAGUCUCCAAAAGCAAAUGUGGACUCUGAUGAUGAUUCAGAUGAUGAUGAUGAUGGUCAUGAUCUCAUCAGUAAUCUUACUGAAAAACAGUUGCAAGCACCUGCUCAGGCAGUAUUAGUAGUCAUAAAAUUGGUAAUAGUGAUAUAGACGAAGAAAACAGAGAACAGGAAGAACCUAUUUCCAGCACAGUAAUGUAAGGUUAGACAUAUGCAAAUAUUUACAGAAUUAGGAUCAGAGGGAGAAAAAUGAUGGUGGUGUAUAUUCAUAUGAAUGAUUGAUCAUCCAUGUGAAUAUACACAACCAUUAUUAAUGCCUGAGUACUAAUGAGAUAAACAGGAUCAGAUAUAUUCCAGUUAAACUUUUGUUGCAAUAUAGUGCAGUUAUCUAAUUUGUUUCUAGAAGUUACCAAAUAUAGGAUGGUAUCCAUCAACAUUCAAAACAAAAGGUUAUGUAUUAUCAAAUAUUAGAUUUGAUAAAGUAGAUUAUUUAAUUCAGACAUUACCAGAAAAUAAAAGGUGAGAUAUGCUGGAGAAUUUUGCAAGUCUGUUGGUUGUACAUAAUGCAAAAUAUGUGAUACUUGAUGGUGUAUUGAAUGUUUUGCAAAAUUUCACAUAUCUUAAUAUUCUAAAGAUAUUCUUUAACAUUAAAAUAUAUCAUUAUGAAUCAGAAUGAAUCAAG
rnacentral:lncRNA from 1 species